UAUGGUUCACCUUUUUUUUCUUUUUUCUUUCUUUCUUUUUUUUUUUUUUUAACUAUCCUCGUAUGGUCAGCAUCCUUCAGUGCCUUGGCCACAAUACUAUCAUCAUAUUUGUUGUACAUGAGCGGUACAGGGUUUCGCCUGUGCAGUGCUGUUUCAGCUAUACAUUCCAGUUCUGGGUCGGCCUUUUGCCAUGGCCUUGUUUGCUUCUUCCACAGUCCCUCAAUCACUUUGUAAGAGUAGCCAUAUUUGUAUCCUACUUGAUGAAUAUAUCUAUGUUCAAUCUCUUUGUGCCCAUGUUGUGAUGUGGGUGAAGGCUCUUGCAAUCAUCGUUCCAAAGGCCACUAGCUUGUAUGACAU
rnacentral:lncRNA from 1 species